rnacentral:rRNA from 1 species
GACGAACGCUGGCGGCGUGCCUAAUACAUGCAAGUCGAGCGGACUUUCAAGAAGCUUGCUUUUUGAAAGUUAGCGGCGGACGGGUGAGUAACACGUGGGCAACCUGCCUGUAAGACGGGGAUAACUCCGGGAAACCGGGGCUAAUACCGGAUAAUAUCUCUCUUCGCAUGAAGGAAGGUUGAAAGGCGGCGCAAGCUGCCGCUUGCAGAUGGGCCCGCGGCGCAUUAGCUAGUUGGUGAGGGAACGGCUCACCAAGGCGACGAUGCGUAGCCGACCUGAGAGGGUGAUCGGCCACACUGGGACUGAGACACGGCCCAGACUCCUACGGGAGGCAGCAGUAGGGAAUCUUCCGCAAUGGACGAAAGUCUGACGGAGCAACGCCGCGUGAGCGAAGAAGGUCUUCGGAUCGUAAAGCUCUGUUGUCAGGGAAGAACAAGUACCGUUCGAAUAGGGCGGUACCUUGACGGUACCUGACCAGAAAGCCACGGCUAACUACGUGCCAGCCGCCGCGGUAA